AGUCACGUGGUGUUUGACCACGGGAAGAGACCUGAGUGUUCCCGCAAGAUGGCGGUCAGUCAGUGUAGAUACGUUUUUUUUUUUAAGAUGAAGGAAUUAUUGGAUUUCCUCUCCCAAACCCCGACCAGUCACAAAACAACAUUGAUUAAAACGUUGCUCGGAAUGACACAAUUUCAUGUGUACAACAUCUAAAGACCCGCAUCACUAUCCUGGGAGCUUUGCCGGUUCUAAAAGGACGUAUUUCGGGGGUUUUGGGGCCUUAAUUUGUUUUUUCGCCCCCAUACUGCUAAACAAGGAUGAGGGCGCGAUUUGCUGGUUGUGAUUAGUCUGAGGCCGGUAACAUCAACAGUGAGGACAAACCCAGCCUGCCUCUCUCCUUCCACACUGAGUAGAAACCUACAGUCACUGGGUCCUGAUUGUGACAGUGGAGCCCAGUUUUCACUGCAGGAUCCAGAGAUGGCAUCAGUGAAGCUGGAAGACUGCAGUCAAACACUGGAGCUGAAUGUCAACAUUAAAGAUGAAGAAGAGGAGGAGAAGAUUGGGACAUCUGUUAAUCAUGGAGACCAUGUUGAGACAUUCUCUACAUCCAGAGAGCAACAGCGGGAAGAUCACAGAGCUAAGAGGUCUCACCUCUGCCCACAUUGUGGGGAGAUUUUCCCAAUUCUAUCAAAACUAGAAAUGCACCUGAAAAUACACACAGGAGAGAGUCUGUAUUCCUGUACCGACUGUGGAAAAAGCUUCAAAACAUCAAGGUCUCUGACAGUUCAUCAGAGAACACACACAGGAAAGACGCCUUACUCCUGCUCAGAAUGUGGAAAAAGUUUCUCUCAACAGAGCAAUUUAAAAACACACCAACGUAUACAUAAAGGAGAGAAGCCUUACUCCUGCUCUGACUGUGGGGUCAGUUUCUCCGGAUUGGAUACCUUAAAAACACACAAACGUAUACAUACAGGAGAGAAGCCAUAUUCCUGCUCUGACUGUGGGAAGACAUUUUCUCAACUGGUCCAUUUAAAUGCACACCGACGUAUACAUACAGGAGAGAAGCCUUACUUCUGCUCUGACUGUGGAAAGAGUUUCUCUCAACAGAGCAGCUUAAGAUCACACCAGCGUACACAUACAGGAGAGAAGCCGUACUCCUGCUCUGACUGUGGGAAGUGCUUCACAACAUCAUCUGCUAUAAACGUUCAUCAGAGAACACACACAGGAGAGAAGCCUUACUUCUGCUCUGACUGUGGAAGGAGUUUUUCCCGGUUGAAUACCUUAAACUGUCACCAGCUAAUACAUACAGGACAGAAGCCUUACUUCUGCUCUGACUGUGGGAAGAAUUUCUCUCUACAGAGCAGCUUAAAAUCACACCAACCUAUACAUACAGGAGAGAAGCCUUACUCCUGCUCUGACUGUGGAAAGUGUUUCUCUCGACAGGGCAGCUUAAAAUCACACCAACGCAUACACACAAUAGAGAAGCCUUUUUCAGAAUAAAACCUUAAAAGUAUCCUCCAUUUUAAAUGAAGUCUUACAGUUGGCUACAAUGUCAUCCUCCAGACAAGGCAGAUCUCAUAUUACAGCAAAUAAUAUGGCUCAGCUCCAAUGUACUGAGAGAUAAAACAAGAAAACUUUUAUUGUAAAAGAAAGUGUGUAUAAUAUCUAUGAAGGACAUACAUUUUCAACAUUUUACAACAUACAACAUUUUCAGACAAGAUAGAAAGGCCAAAGAGGGCAGUGUUGCAAUCUACUGCAGAGAUCUGUCCUACUAUCCAGGUCUGUACCCAAACAAUUUGAACUUCUACUUUUAAAAAGCCACCUCUCUAAAAACAAGUCUCUCACCGUUGCUGCCUGUUACAGACUUAAAAAAAUCAUACAAUGUGAUUUUCUGGAUUUUUGUUUUAGAUUCUGUCUCUCACAGUUGAAGUGUACCUAUGAUAAAAAUUACAGACCUCUACAUGCUUUGUAAGUAGGAAACACUGCCGAUUCUGCAGGUUAUCAAAUACUUGUUCUCCCUACUGUAUAUCUCUCUGGUCACCCACAAAACCAAUUAUUCCUUUGGCCGCCACUCCUUACAGUUCUCUGCUGCCAAUGACUGGAACGAACUACAAAAAUCUCUGAAACUGGAAACACUUAUCUCCCUCACUAGCUUUAAGCACCAGUUGUCAGAGCAGCUCACAUAUUACUGCACCUGUACAUAGCCCAUGUAUAAUUUAGCCCAAACUACCUCUUUCCCUACUGUAUUUAUUUAUUUAUUUUGCUCCUUUGCACCCCAUUAUUUCUCUCUACUUUGCACAUUCUUCCACUGCAAAUCUACCAUUCCAGUGUUUUACUUGCUAUAUUGUAUUUACCUCCCUUAUCUCACCUCAUUUGCUCACAUCGUAUAUAGACUUGUUUCUACUGUAUUAUUGACUGUAUGUUUGUUUUACUCCAUGUGUAACUCUGUGUCGUUGUAUGUGUCAAACUGCUUUGCUUUAUGUUGGCCAGGUCGCAAUUGUAAAUGAGAACUUGUUCUCAACUGGCCUACCUGGUUAAAUAAAGGUGAAAUAAAAAAGACUGCCUGAUGCUUUCACAUCAGCAUGGACCAACAUCCCUGUCUAACAUUUACAACAUGCAUAAUCCAUGCCUUGAAGAAUUCAGGCUGUUCUGCAGGCAAAAUUGGUGUAACUAAUAAACUGUCCGGUGAGUAAAUGAGCAAGGCAUACUGGGAUAAAAGUUUUGGUUAACAGAAUACAUGACUGGUUCCCCAGGCACAAAACCCUCGAAUAGGCUCUCAAUUUAGCAUAUUUAACAGGCUGCUGAUGGGCCAUCAACUGCGUCCCAUUGUAUUUACACUGGUUGGGUGGGUUAGGCCCACAGAACAAUCACACUUGUCCCAAUCAGCAAGCAGUUGUCUGGACUUCACAAAGCUGUGGAAAUAUGUCCAGACAGUCACAAUUGUUAUUUAUUCAAACUGAUACAUAGAUAUCAGUUAGACAAAUUACAGUUGAACUCAUAGUGAUAAACUGUAGAUUUUCAAUGCCCAUUUCAGUGCCCAUUACUAAAACAAUGUAGUCUGAUGGUUGACUGGAUGGCACUGCUUCCCUCUGCAGUUUUCUGUGGGAAUGAGUUAGUAGACAACAUGUAUCAGAUAGAGAUGGUGUGAUGAUCCGUUUUUAAUACUAAACAAUUAUUUAACGAUACACAAUCUUAGAAAUGACUUCAUAUAUUUAUUAAAUUGUAAUUUUAGUCAUUGAUGAGAAAAGUGUUUUGGAUGAAUGCAUUGAACUGAAUGGAUCUACCAAUAAAUAAAGUUUGUACAUUU